GCACCGGUCUAGCUCAGUGGUUACUUCGUAACUGACAACGAAUCUACCCGACGGUCCGCGGAGCGUGGGUUCGACCACGGGCGCUGUCCAGUGUUUUU
rnacentral:vault_RNA from 1 species